GGUCAGAUGGCCUAAGUGAUUAGAGCGUCCGCCUCGGAUGCGGGAGGUCACAGGUUCAAACUCCGGCCAAAUCA